GUUUUAUCUCAUCUGAUAUUAUCAAAGACACCACAGAGAAUUUCUGGUUGAUUGAUACUGAUUGUGAAGUAGACGAUCCAGAAACAUGUUGCAAGUUAGUGAAGAAACGAGAAAAUCGAACCGAACUGGAACCAGUUUCAACUUCCUGUAAUAAUACCUUUAGUCCUUCUAUAUGUGUUCGACAGAGCUCAGGUGUAGGAGCAGGAAUAAUAGUCACUACAGUGGAAGCUCUGAACAGUAGCGCUGUACAAGUGCAAUGGUCUUAUGAUGGAAAUGGCUGGAAAACGAG